CAAUGAUGGGGUUAAACUUCUCAUUUCCUUUAAGUGACUCUAGAGGUAGUACUGGCAAGGCUGAUAAAACCCAUAGAGAAGCAAUCACACAGGGCAGGUGAUUGGAGUAGAUAAUGUGUUGAAUUAUUCACGAAAUAGGCCAUUGAAAAUUGAAUAGAGGGGGGAGGAACGUGCGAGAAAGGGUAAUAGAAGCAAAGUAAACACAGACAGUCUUG